UGUUUGAGGUCGGCAAAUUAUUGCCGACUUCAUUUUUCCUAACUCCGAGGGUUGAUAUUGUUGAUACUUUAAAAUUUAGGCCGUUUAAUUAAAGACACUUGAAAAUUGUCACCUUGUUUCAUGUUUUAAGUGCAAGGUCAGCUAAAAUUUGAAACCUGAGGUUUCAAACAUAAUUAUUACUAGAGAUGUUGAAUUGAUAGACAAUCGGACAGUAAUAAAGUUUUAUUAUAAAAUUUAGAGAGAAGCAAAAGAAAAAAUUUAGUAAUGCAGAAGAUACAUCAAAUGUUGAUAGAAAAAACAAGCAUAAGGGUUGAGAAUUUUUCUGAUGAUUUGCAAUAGAUGAACAAUGACUGUUGGCGUUAUUUGCUGAUGAUUAAAAUUGACUAGAAACAAACAGAAUGUAUCUGCAGUUUUAAUAAAUAAUAAUUGUUUUAAUAAAAAAUAAAGAUUUGCAAAUAUAAUUACAAUGAUAGUGGUAUACAUUCUGGUUUAUUGGAAUGACUGUGUGACUCGUGUAGGGAGUUUUUUAAGAUUACCAACUUAAUGGUUGAUGAUGAUAUUUCCUUCCAUUAUUAUGAUUAAAAUAUUGUGAGAAAUUAGAUUUUUUAUCUGAAGAGCAAAAAUCAUAAAAAUCUUACAAUGUCCUAAAGUAUAAAUAUAAUAAUAUAAUAUUAUAAAAUUUAAUGUUUUUUUAUUGCACUCAAUGAAUCAAGAUAUUGUAUCAAGAAAGAGUUGCUUAAAGAAGCAGUCUUAACAACGAUUUAAAGGGUCUUUAUUCGGAAACAUCACGGCUGUUUCCGAAUAAAGACCCUUUAAAUCGUUGUUAAGACUGUUUCUUUAAGACAUAGGCUUUUAAUUCGGACAUAGGCUUUAAUUUAAGACAUAGGCUUUUAAUUCGGAGACAGCCGUGAAUACAUGAUCACAGAAUUAUUUAGAAAGUUGCUCAAUAAAAAUGUAAUUGUAAUUUAUUUGAAAUAAAUAAGCAUAUAAAAUUA